UACUAAUUAUAUCUUUAGAUGGAAAUCAGGAACAUUUUCUUCAGACACUGCAUCUGGUCUAGGUGGAGAUAUUUUCACCCCCGAGAUUUGGCAUACCGUGUUAUGGAAAACUUUCUAUUUUCCUAUUAUAUACAAUGUGUGAUUGUUAGUUCUCACCGCUGAAAACACCUGGCUACUUUGGUCUGCCCAUUGUGAAGAUGACUAAAACAGUGCCCAGUACUCAAUCUCCAGUCUCCAGAAUUAAUGCAUAACAGCAAGCUUCAUUUGGAUGUGGGUAGAAGUGUCUCGCGCAACAACUACACCUUAAGAAUUUCCCCACAAGAGUGUUUCAAAUAUUGUAACUACUUAUAGUUGUUUUCUGAUCAAAUAGCUGUAUUUUCACAAAUUCUGUCAGAAAUCUCAUAUUGAUUCACACCUCAUCUGUCGAAACUACAGAAGCUGGUCUAUAGAGUGUCACAGGAACGUCAUGCCAAAGACAAGCCUUGAAAUGUAACCAUGGUAACCAUCACGCCAUGUUAAGUAUCAGGUGGACAUAGUUAUAUUUGUUGAUGCAGAUUGAAUGUAAGGUGUACAUCAUACGUGUUUCCAUUUAUUUUUGUUAUUGGAUUUUUUCCGAUGUUACGAAAGCCAAAAGAAGUAGGCAGUGUAGGAUUGUAGAGGCUUCCUGACAGGUUAUCGUUGUACAGAAGGAAGCUUGUUGUUGUACAGAGAGCGUCUUACUUUAUGCAACAGUGAGCAAUCUGUGUGUUUUUUGUCAUGAAACAGUGUGUGGAGCUCUUUAUGUUUAGGCUAAAACCAAAACAAUUGGUUCUCAAGCAACGACUGUGUUAAUAGCAGGAAGCCAUGGACGGAUCCAAUGGGGGUGGGGUUCAGGGGGUUCGAAAAACACCCCAACCCCCGCCCCUUUUUUAAAAUGACUUAACACCACAUUGAAGAUUUUGUAUUUGCGUUGGCAGAGCCAGGGGUAGGGGGUGUUCUGGGGUUCGAAGUUCCCCCUUUUUUUCAAUUCCUGGAUCCGCCCAUGGAAUCGAUAUAUUUGAUGAAAUGGUAUUCCUCUCCAAUGGAGCUGAGUAACCUGUCAACGAAAGCAGCCUGAGAACUAAGCACAGCCUUCACUGUAAAUCAAAACUUACAAGCACCUAUGAGAGAAUGUCCGUUGUGUUGCUGUGGAGAUAGCAGCUAGACUACCAUAUCAAAAGUCAUGAUCUAUGACGGUUCUUUAAUCAAACAGGGUUUACAAAGUAAAGCAGUGGUGAUAUAUUUAUGGAUACAGCAGUAUUUAUAAUUGUACGUGUAGAUUGUAUAGUUCCGUCUCCUAUUCUCGCGGGUUUCCUAUUCUCGCGGUAAACACGUUUCCUGCUGAUGCACGACACAGAGCGGUUGUUAACCAUGCCGAUCGGUAACUAGGAAGUGGCCCAAGUCAUCAAAAUCUUGCAAUGUCACGAAUAUUGGAGAGUUUAUACCAACUUGGACAUAUCAUAACUCUUCCCAGCCUUUUCGGCAGGAUUGCUCUUCUUACACCCCAUAACGUUACUUCCUCGUUAAACUGCGAGAAUGGAAGAAGCCUCAUUUCGUCAUAGACGGAUGGAAUUGUUUAUCACCGGGCUCACAAGUGGUAAUUCACCUGAUCAUCUAGCAGCUGAUAGAUGCAGAUGUUCGAGGAGAAGGCCCUUCAUUUAUACACAACAAGCAUUCAUACGAUAAGAAUUGUUUGUGUUAUUUUUUCAGCCGAUAUCCGAAAGUACCGCGAGAAUAGGAAACGCCUUCAUAUAUUUAUGUUUAGGUUACCAUGUUCAAGGCCAUAGUCACAAUGCCUUGUAUAUUAUUGCUCGGGGUUGUCUCAUUAAUUGUCAUCAUUUUUCAUGAAGUUUUACGGUUACAAGCAUAAAUGGCAUUGAUAUGCAAGUUCUAGUGUGUUCAUUUAGUAUACGGAUGGCUCCGCAGAUUUCUUUUUGUAGGUUACUCGUCUGUUUAAUGUCGAGAUGCGAAAGUAAAAAAAUCUGUUGGUUUGGAUCUUACGACCGAAAAACUUCAUUUCAUAUUUGAGAUGGCCCCUGAACAAUUCACAUGAUUGAGAUGAUUAUGUCACUGUGUAGGAUCUGUUUAAUAUGUACAUGCUGCAAUUAGAUCAAAAUAUAUUUUUUGAAUUAGCUGCGUCAGCUUGUAUGAUCAGUGUAUAGUGUUAUGUGUAUUUGUGUGAAGUUUUCAGAAAUGUAUGCAAACAUAUUCACAGGUUCCCAUGGUAACAGAUGUGCCUCAAUUUGUCCAUGUCUGUUUCUGAGAAAAAGGAACUUCAGUCAGUGGUAUACCCCGUCAUGGUACUCCAGUGCAAGACAUGGUGUUGCAAUACAUGGAGCGUGGUAUGCUCGUACAAAAUGUGUAUCACAACACAGUGUUUGCAAAUACGUAUGCAUAGACUGUUAUACGAUCAUUGUCAUGGUAGAAUGUUACAGUAUGGCUACAAUGUAUGUAUCAUGGCACACUGUCACGUGUGUAAUGAUACAGUGAUAUUAAGAGUGUAUCAUGGUACAAUGUCACGUGUGUAAUGAUACAGUGAUAUUAAGAGUGUAUCAUGGUACAGUGUCACAUGUGUAAUGAUACAGUGAUAUAUAGAGUGUAUUAUGGUACACUGUUACGUGUGUAAUGAUACAGUGAUAUAAAGACUGUAACAUGGUACAUGCUCUUAUAGUGUCUUGUUUCAUUGUACAUUUAGAAAGUGUAUUGUUUUAAAGUAUUUUGUUACAACUGUGAAAAAUCAGUCGGUUAACCAAGAAGUCUACUGUUAACAUCAACAAAAAAGAUUAAACAAAAUUUCGGUGAUAAGUCACCAAGCCAUAAGGACGGACCAUUUUGAUUUUCAUCUGAUCUUUAUUUAAGUUAAUAAUGUGAAUUAUUUAAAUUUUUUCACUUCAGGAAGCAACAUAACAUAGUACAGUCAUACCCAAAAGUUAAGCAUAGUCGAAAUUCCAAUUACACUGAUACAUUGAAUGAAACUUGCCAGUGAAGUGAAAAGUUGUUGGUUAAAAACUAAGAUUUGCUGAAAUACUGUUGUGACACAUCACCAUGUAAUCACGGUAGAAGGCAAGUGUCACGUCACAGAGUCAUUGAGGACAUCCAAAGAACUGCUAUUCAGUCCCGAUUGUUCCUGAUCUUCGGCUACCUGGAUUUGCAUGCUGGUCAUUAUGUUAAACAUGUUGCAUGACAUUCCAGUUGCCGACAGCUUGUAAUGGUAUAUGCCCUCUGUGGCACCUGUCUCUGUGGCACUUGGCAAAUUAAUUGAUCUGGGUCAAGAUUCCCUGUGUGGCACAUGCCCUCCACACAAUUGCCCUGUGUGGUACUUGUAAUCAGUGAUGUGUGAAAGACGCACAGAGGGAAACCACGCUUUGCAAUUGUUUGUCUACUUGUCAGAAAAAGGUCCAUCUAUGCUUAACUUUCGGGCUUGAUGCUAUACAGAGGAGUUGUUUCUGAGAAGUUUCGAGAAAUUUCACAUUAAUUUUUUGUAAUGAUCAUGUUUGGCCUGAAUCUUCAACAUUCAGACAUGGCAUUGACUGAGACAAGGAGUAUGAUUUAUGUAACUUGAUGUAAAAGUCCUUUAGUGGUCUUUCAGCAUAAUAUUGAAAUCAUUCUAACAUGGAUAAAUAUCUAGCAGUUACUUAUGCCAUAAUAUUAACAGGUUGUGUUUUGAGGAUUAUAAGGUUAUUCUUAGACUGUAGUCUGACAACUGUCAUAUUUAGCCAUGCAAUCUCCUGGCCAUGUGCUUAAUCUUGAAUCUAAAUGGGUCAGAAUCUAAAUGGGUCAAACUCCGCCCUUCAUUGUCCACCAUUUGUGCACUGUUUAGAAAAUGACACAACUUUAUGAACUUGAUUGAAUAUUGGAUAAAUCACUGUUUAAAUAAAUUGGUUCUCUUUUAAUAAAAGAUUCUUGACACUUUGAACACGAAACUCAACAUUUGGAAAUACCGAUAAAAUGUCCAUAAUAAAUUUACCUUUAAUUUUCUUAGUAAGGUGACGAACCACAGUGCAACAGGGACGCAUAUACAUUCUUAAUUGGAACCUAUCUGUGUAUUUUGCUGGGUUUCCAUGCAUAACAGACCCCAUUUAUAUUCAAGAUGGCAUCCAGUUGUGGAAUUACCCAUGAGUCCGUAGUGCCAUUUAAAGGGAGAUCACUCUGAUGUGUGUUAGGAACCAGUCACAGCUUAAUGGUAAAAAGUAGGCUGUACACAAUAUGUCACUUGGCACAUGUUAUAAGCAUUAUUUUGUUGUUAAGUUUCCAGUGAUAUAUCUUCACAAAUUUGUGGUCAUUAUAUAUUUAUUACGCAAAGACAUGGAGUUGCUAUUAUGGAUGAAUUUGUUGGUUUUCUUGUGUACUUACUGAGAUGGUGAAAAGAGUCAGAGUUUCUUGUUAUGUUGGUAACGUUUAAAGACGUGGCUUUAGGGCAGGGAUUCCAUGGCAUGUUCCUGGCUUGCCCCGGGUCUUCAAUGCGAAACAGUUGGAACACAGGGAUCUUUAAAGAAGCUCAAAGAGCUGCUAGCAACCUCCAACGCUUGAUGAGAAGGUACAGAUUUGUGGAAAGGUUUUUUGAAGUUGUUAAGCUGCUUUCAGUUCAGGAACUGACAGAUAUAACAAAUAUCUUUUGUUGAGUGCAGUGCAGGGGAUAUCAAUCGUAACCAUGAUGUUGACACGUGGUUCGAGAACAUCCACUUUCAUGGGAUACUAGAAGAUAUAGUCAGCUGGAAAAUGCGCGUUUCUUCUCAAACCAUGAUCUAGUCAGAUGAAUCGUUCUUGACCACGCCUGGGCACAAGAACAAAGCUCAGAGCAACUAAUCCUAUCGGCGUGUCACCCACCUAGUGAUAAGUCAUGGCAACCAUUUCAACUGCGAUGAAGCAUUGGUAUCAGUUUGGUCAGGAAUAAAAACAAGUUUGGUUUUUGUCUGUUGUUUUGGAGCAGUAAACCCUCUGGGUUGAGUUCAGGAACAGGUUUACGUUUGCGUCCUGUUCUGAUGCACUAAACCCACUAGGUUGAGUUCAGGAACAGGAUCAUAUCUGAGUCGGGUUCAGGGAUGGUGACCAUUAGAUGGUGUAUAGGAAUGGUAGCUACUGGGUGGUCGUGUCAUUUUUGGGGCCUCGAGUGACUGACCAUCAUCCAUAAUAGCAACCUCUGUAAGUCAGGCCACAGCUGUAUUGUUGAAGCAGCUUGUAUGAUGUACAGAGUGCCCUUCGGGUGUGUCUAUAGUGUACAUACAUAGGAGUAGAACGUUACGCACAGUCACAACAGUGUGGAGUUGUAUUCAGUUGUUGGCGUGUUCAGACAUGGAUGAAUGCAUAGAUGUUUAUGUGGUUGUAUACCGCACAGGAAUAAAACAGCUGCAUUGAAA